AGCUGUCUUUGGCUCCUGGCACCCCCCCCUGCCCCCCAUCUCCCACCAACCUUUCUGCCCACGGGUCUCGUUCCCACGCUCUCCCCGCUCUCUUUUUAGGCUGCGCAGGAUCCGAGCCCUCCUGGCUAGGAGGUCCAACCGAGUAGCCCCCCGGACGCCCCAGGGGAGCCUGCAGCCUCCAAGCCAGUUGCCCCCCACCCCGGAGGUGGUGGUGCCUGUGCGGCCGCAGCAACCAGGUGGGCCCUGCUCCUUCGCGGCCAGCAGUUGUGGGGAGCAGCCAGCCAGAGCCAGUUGAGUCCCCUGCGGAGGAUGCUGGAGCUUCAGCACCCGGCGGCCUCCUCAAGGCCAGGCUCUGCCUGGUGAAUGAGGCCAGACCUGAAAGUGAGGAAGAAGGGAAAAUAUGGAAAGACCCCUCCAGGAACUCCUCCCAGGGAAGUCCAGAGCCGUGUCGGGGGGGGGGGGGGUACCAAGGGAUGGCGGGACGGCUCUCAUGAAAGGGAGCCUGACAUCAAAGGGGAAUCCUGCCCUACUUCACAGCCCCAUGUUUGCCCCUUCCAGGACCGGAGGGAGCGGGUCACGUUCCUGAAGACCCUGAUAGAGGCCUGCAGGGAACCCUCCGGAGAGGGGAGCAACGCCUUCCCUUCUCAAAGGACUUGGCAGCCCAGGCCGUGCUGGAGGAGAUGGGGCAUACCUGGGAGGACCCCCUGCCCCCCUACCUCUUCUCCCUCUGCACGGAGGCUCUCGCCUUGCUGAGUCGGAUGAAGCCCUGCUUCUUCCAGAGCAGGGAGCAGAAAAUCCUCACCGACUGCCUCUUCUGGAUGAGUGUGAUGCCGGAUCUGGGGCCGCAGUAAGACCAGGAGGGCCCAUUUCUGCUACCCGAGGAGGCCCUGCAGGGCCUGCUCCGAGCCCUCCUGGCCCAGAGGCCCAGCCUGGAGCACCUCAUCCAUAUCACUGAGGCCAUUAAUAGUGAGGUGGAGACCAAGGAUGAGCAGGAGGAGGUGGUGGCAGAGAGGGCUGGCCGUUUACUGCUCGACCUGGUGAUCGGGCCGCCCUUUCACUUUGAGGCAGAGAAGAUCAAGCCCCUGCUGCCCUUUGCAGUUCUCCAGGUGUAGAGGUUGGCAGCCCAGGACAAAGAGGAAGGCUGCUCUUCAUCUAGUGAAGAGGACCUCCUCCAGGGAGCCAAAUUCUGGGAUGAUUGAGGGCAAUCUUCUCGUGGACUUUGGACACCCUUGUGGCCAAAUUCAGAUGCUCCAGGGCCUCCAUAUGGAAGAGAGAGAUGGAGGAGCCGGAGGAGAAGGCCAUCCAGACGCCACUGCCUGCCUUGAUCAUGUGCGUGAUGCUGGCUGCUUCUUCUGGGUGGGCCUCGAAUAUUUUCUCUGCCUUCAGAUUGCUAGCCUCGAAUACGUUUGUUCCUCUGACAGACAUCGCACCAGGGAGAACUGUUUCUGACUCUAGCCCUAAAUUAGGCUCUGUAACUGAGAAAAUGGAAGCAUCAAAUAAUAAUGCUGAGAUUGGGAUAUCCUUGCCCACAGCGAACAGUUCUUUGAUUGCUACUCAAGCACAAGCUGUAGGCUCUCUAGAGGUGCCCAUCUUGAGGGACUCUCCAGAUCCUUCUGGAUGUGAUACUGGUUCAAAUGAGUAUCAACAAACGAUCAGUCAGGUUUCUAAUCAAUAGGAUAUCAUUAAAUGGAUUUGAGAGGAUCAAGGGGGGAACGCACCAAAUGAUCCUACAGAUCUAAUUUACAAACAAUCACAGUUGCUGCAGGGGGAAGAUAUUUUCCACUUAAAACUGCUGGUGUCCAAAGAAAAGCAGAGAAAUGAUAGAAACCAGAGCUAAAAAAAGAUGCCGUAUGCAAUUUACCCAAGCAAAAUAAAAGAGGCAGUGAAAAUCCAAGGAGGGUUACAUCCUUCAAUAGUGAUGCUAGAGGAGGAAUUGACACUAUUCAGGAUGCUCUGAAGCAAGACCCCGAGUCAGUUUCUUGGAAUGGGUCUAAAGUCUCACUGGCCAUAGGUGGAGAGAAGUUUCAAAAACGGGUUCAUCUGGAUCCCAUCUAUGAGCAUCGCAAAGGGAUCCUUGACCCAGAUUUAUGAAACAGGCAACAUGACUACUGCUUGAAAAGGAUUGUGAUGCCCCUGAUUUUAGGCUGAUUGAGAGUGAAGAAGCACUACAGAGUUAUGAAGCCAAACAGGUUAAAUCAGAAGGUCACCCUGUGGUUGAAAUUGGUGACCAAAAUUUGUGUUGUCCUGGUUCAUCUAUGUUAACUUCAUCACCACUGUAAAGACAGUCUUUGUGGUCUCAACCUUUGUUUGAGGCAAUGGAGGUGCCACAGAGUGAUUCUGUUGGAAUGAAUGGACUCCCUCUGUCAAUUACAAGUUCAGAAGAACGAGCACCCAAUAGAGAAAGAACUGCAAUUCAUCAUUUGGAAGUAACUAAGUGACACUUAAUAUCUGUGAGGCCUUUCUCUUUGAUAACAUGGAAUGUGGCUGGUUGGAGGUCUAAGAUUAAGGAUGUCUCCUUGAUGGAAUUGAUUUCAGAUUUUGAUUUUGUGAUGCUGCAGGAAAUGUGGUUUGAUGAAGAGCUUAGUUUAGAUGUUUAAAAACUAAGAGGUUAGUUUCUAGUUUAGAAAAUGUUUAUUUUCCACCAGGGCAGACCCACGCACAAAUUAAUGAGAUAUGGGGAGAAUUUGAGGGUUGGGGAUUUUAAUGGGCACAUGGGUUUAAAUGAUAUAGCAUUUUAUCAAAAGUUCAAAAAAAGCCCACCUGAUGUAGGCGAAGCCCUACCUCCUCUUGUUUCCCAACAAGUCAAAGACCGGGUUGGAAACUCUGCUGGUUUAUGUCCUCCAAAAACAAGGGCCCAAUUAGAUGUAUAUUUAUUAAAUGGUGCAGUACAGGAGGAUUGGCCGGUGGAAUUCACUUUUGGGGCUGCAGCUAAAAUGUCUACUAUCAAUGGUUAUCAUUUCAAGGAAUCUCAUUGAUUAUUUGCGGGAAUUCAAGGUCACCAGCCGCCCAGACAGUGAUCAUCUUCCUGGUGUAUUAGAGAUUAAUACCUUUUGGGGACAACCUUUUAAAAAUAGAGAUGAAGAUAUAAUUUUAUUGCAGCUGAAGUUCAACCCUUACGAGUUAGCUGGUCUGAGCCAGUUAGGGAUUGAAUUGCAGUUGAUCUUAAGUCUGAUCAUUUGAGGUAGGCUAGAUCUGCAGUUCUGGAGAAGGGUACAAAUGGAGAUAUCCUUGACCUUUAUGAAAAUUUAGUUGCGUGUCUUAAACCUGCCGUAAUUGCAUCAACAGCACAAGGUCCUAUUAGAUCAAAUAGAUAUCCGAGCUAUCUGAAGUCCUGGUUUGAGCAGGAAUGCAAAGAGGCAAAAAUAACACUUAUACAGAGCUAUCAAGCCUCUUGAGACGGUUCAAAUGCCCUCCCUGCUCAGUCUCUUAAAAGGGAAUCGAAGAUACUGCUUAAAAUGAAAGAGGGAAACUGAUUAAGCCACUUGACACCUUGUGAAAUGUCAGCCUUUAUAUUGUGCAUCCCAUCCCGCACAUCCUUUUUCUCCUAAAGCCAUUUCUGUGUCCUGUUUACUGCGGUUGAGACCGGAGAUUGUAUUACCAAGUUGGAUGUGGGCUUUUUACCUGAGUGGCCUGCAGUGUCGAUUUCUGAAAUGACAACUUGAAUGCAUCAGUUUGCAUUUGAUAAAGCCCCAGGAAUUGAUCUGAUUACAACUGAACUGAUUUUAGGAAUCCCUGAUCGGUUGGUCGCUGGAUUUGCCUCCCUUUUCUCGGCCAUAGAUGCUCCUGCAUCUGUCCCAACAGAUUGGGGCAUCGUGCUAAUUAUUCCACUCUAUAAGAAGGGCAAACGAGAUUUAGCUGUAAAUUAUUGCCCUAUCCAUUUACUUAGUGCGGUUAGUAAAAUAUAUGCUAAACACUUUCAUGAGAAAUUAUUGGAUUGCUUAGAAGAAGAAAAUAUACUAUCAAACGAGCAGGCUGGUUGUAGGUCUGGUCAUUCUGCGGUGAAUAAAGCCCUGAUACUCCAACACUUGACUGGAAAUAAAUAAAUAAUCUAUAUAUCCAUAUAUAAAAAGCCAAAGCUUUUUAUGUGGCUUUGGUUUAUUUUAGGAACACUUUUGACUCAAUUUCUAGGAGGAAGUUUCUAGGGGCAAAACCUGUUGCGUUCCACAAUUGACUGUCACCUACUCUUACUGAUAUACAAGAUGUAUGAGGAUACUAAUUUGAAGGUCUGAUGCAGUAGGCAAGAUCAUCUUACAGAAGAAAUUCCAGUCCAAAGAGGAGUAAGGCAGGGCUGUAUUUUGCCCAACUCUUUUUAAUUUGUUUAUUAAUUCCCUUGUUACUUAAGUUAACCAUUCCAAUCAUCAUUCACUUAAGUUAGCCAUCAGAUAUUUGUCAGUAUGACUUGAUGCAUAUGAUGUUGCACUUCUUUCUCAAACACCAAUUGGACUCUGACAUCCUUUAAAUGCCCUUUAUCAUUUUAUUUAUUUAUUUAUUCAUUCAUUCAAUUUCUAUACCGCCCUUCCAAAAAUGGCUCAGGGUGGAUCCUUAUUGCAAGGAUCAUGAUUUAGAAAUUAUGACAAGGUAAUGGUGUUCUCCAAAAGGAACAAGAAGAAAUGGGAAGAUAAUCAUACAAGUUGUUUGCUUUAAAUCUCUCAGCAUAGUUUUUGAAGCACCGGGCAGCAGAAAUGCGCAUUCAAAUUAUGCACUGCUAAUGCACAGAGAUCUUACAAGGGCUAUUUUCUUUCUUUUGUUCCAGAGGUGCCCAAUUUAUACCUGCCACAAGUUAUUUUUAGCUAAAUCUGCCACAAACUUACUCUACGGAGUUCAGAUACGACUGCCAAUUUUUUUUGAUAAAUUAGAAGCCCUUCAAUCAAAAGUUUUAAGAAGUCUUUCUCAGGCACCACAGUGCAUGCAUGCCCCAUGUGGCAUUUCGUCUGGAGGCAGGGAUCUCCAAAUUCGAGACACACGUUGAUGGCUAAAGAGUCUUUGGCCUAUGGUUAAAAUUGAAUUUCCAUCCUUCAGGUCAGGCAGCACGGGUACUCACAGAUGGGUUUCAAGCUUAUUGCAAACAAGCUGUGGAAAAGAAGCUGUUGUACCAUGGCCUAUCCCCAGGUGAUUUAAAAUCGAUGGAAUUUUCAAAAGCCAGGAUGGUAGUUUAGCAGCGUGUACUAGAUAUGGAGAAGCAGAUAGAGCUUAGCCACAUGCCCAGAGGAGUUCUCUUGGGAAACUAUGUUGUCCUUAAUAAACCAGCUAGAUAUCUUGGUAUAAUAACUAUUCCCAAGUAUCGCAAAGCUCUAAAACUAGCUCAUCUCAAUUCACUUCAAACAGCAGUCCUCAAAGGGAGGUACAGUAAAGGACCUUAUGCUUUGCCCCGGUAAUAGUGGGAGUAUAGAAACAACAACACACGUACUACUAUACUGUAAUGUUUAUAGGGAUAUUGGUGAUUGCUAUUUAUUACCCUUCAUAAAAGAAUUUCCAGGGCAUUCAGAUAAUUUUUAUCUGAAGUUGCUUUUAGCUGACACAUCUGAUGAAACUUCUUUAAAUGUUGUCAAGUUUUGUUCAACAGCCGGGAAAGUUCAUCAGAAGCUGGUAGCUUCAUCAGUUUAAAUGUUUACUUUGAGUGGUGGUAUUAUUAGUUAAAUCUCCAACUGUAUUAUGGAUGUAAUAGUGAUUUUCCCCAUUUUGUUUCUCUGUUUUGGGAUUUUGUUUUAUGUUUUACAUUCUGCUUUUCUGAUCAGUUAUCAAAAUGAACACUUCAUUCAUUCAUACUCUUAUUGUAUAAUAUUUAUCUGCUGGAGACUGAAUUGGAAAUAAAAAAUGGUUUUGUUUGA